rnacentral:misc_RNA from 1 species
GCGAUCUUUCUGCAGACUGCGGCCGGCCUCUGGUGGUCACUCUCGCGCUGUCUGGAUUCACGCAGUACUCUCUCAUUGCCAUCUGUUCCUCCACCUCAACCUCUCUCUAUCUUUCUAUUUAUCGUCGCCAUCCAAUCUUUGUGUCGCCCCUCAGUCUCGCCUUUGGACAGAACCAAUCUCUCCGCCUCUCAACCUCGCCGCUGCACAGAAGCAAUCCGCUGCCCCUCAUCCUUCCCGCAUCACAGAAGCAAUCUAUCGCAGGUCACACAAACAGAGUUAGAAGCUGAACAUCACCCAGCUUCAAUGGGCUGUGAUAGUGUUUCUCAGGAUCAGAAAAAACGCACUUUGGAGGCAUUGGAGAGAAGGUUUGCUGUAGCCAAAGCUGAGCUAAUUCAGCAACAAAAGAAAACCCAAAAACAGGAAGAUAGAAAAGAAAAUAACAAUACCACCAACUCCCUUUCCUCUGUUGCUCCUCCUGUGCAUUUUCCACCUUCUCCAAUCACUCCCUUCUUGAAUAGCUUGUCAAAAAAAGAUCUCGAGGAAAAUGGUCCGGCAUAUUCUCAGCUCUCCCAUCCUGUACAUGAGAACCUGUUGACAACAAGUGUCAAGUUUCAAAGUAAAAGAGGAAGCAUGGCGGACAUGAUAUUGCAUGAACUUCUUCUACAUGGUGAUUCUGCCCAAAAAUACAUACAAGGAUCCAGAGGCAAAAAAAUUGACAAUUGGAUCCUUCUUGAUAAUUUUGCACAAGGACGUGGCAAAUCUACCAGCUCUCAUAUUAGAGCUUUGAAAGCCCACUCAAGGCGCUCUAAAAGGCACAUGUCUAUGAAGCAACAUAAAAAAUGUGGAUCUUUUGUUCUGCCCCAAGAUCUCCAAAAGUUUGCUGUUUUUAAGCCAAUGCAUGAGAUGUGGAAAGGCUACAUGAUGCAGCUUCUCAAAAAUACUGGGACAAAUCAAUUGGCUCAGUGUCUUCUUAGUGCUGAUCUACAUGGUGCUGUUAUUCUGGGUUGGUCUCCAUUCCAUGGCAUCACUUUAGAUUAAUAGUUUUUAUUGAAAAUUUAGAGGCAGAUGUUAAAAGUUUAAAAACGAGUCUUGUUCCUAAUCAUGUUUAACCUUCUUGAGCCAACUUUAGGACCACUAAUCUUAAUGUCAAGUGUAUCAACGAAAGAUUGUCUAAUUACAUGCAAGAACACCUAUGUUCCACUAUGUUCUUAGUUGCAAAACUUUGAUAGAAUCAUUUAAAUUGUCUUGCUAAAGAUGGAUUCAAUAGUGGGGGAAAAAACUCUAGUUGACAAAGUAACGAUGUUUACUUAUGUCCCUUCAAGUGUCCUUUAGUGGAUUUUGGAUAACAACAAAUCCAACAAUCAUUCUAGUGGACACUUUAGUGACUUAUUUAUUAUGGACAUUCCACAAUCUUCAUCUCCAGCUUAUUUUGGAUUUUCACUUUAAGUUUAAGGAUAUUCUAAGAUGAUUUUUCGGUAUAAUUUGUAAGCCAUCAUUUCACCAUAGGUUGAACCAUCGAGCACCAGUAGAUGAUUUGUCAGUAUAAUUUUUCCACGCCUCUUGCUCAAGUCAUUGUUGUUCAUAUCAUUGAUAGGCUACUUUAACGUCUCUCCAUUUUCUGGCAGUUGCUCAGUGUAAGGUAGCAUCUUUCACUGGAAUUAGUGGUAUAAUGAUUCGCGAAACAGCAGAAACAUUUGGGAUAAUAGCACAAGAUGACAAAUUUUGGGGUAAUUCGUUUAGCUGUCUACUUCAUGCUAUUUAAUUAAUAUAAAUGAUUUUAGGGUGCAUAUAUAUAUAUAUAUAUGUGAUUGCUAUUAUAUGUAUUUCACGGUAUGGCAUAUGGUAUAUCCCUCCGUCAGAUGAUUGUGCCUGUACAGUAUUUACUCUUGGUGUGAGCUCUCUAUCUUGUGUGGUUUCGACUUUUGUUUUCUUUCAAGGCUUAUAUUUUACCUGCAUGAACUGGACAACUACUUGAAACUUAUCUGGUUAAUGGACAUAUUGAUGAAAUUUAAGUUAAAUAAGGAUAGUUUUUACUGCAAAUAAAAUUACUUCUUUAUUUUUAUUAUUAAUAUGAUUUCUAUAUACAUUCAUGUGUUAUAACAAGUGAAGUUUACUUAAAGGAUUUUGACAAAAAAAAAAGUUACUUAAAGGCUUUUGACAAAAUAAAAAGUUACUUAAUGGCUGCACGAUAAUAGUAGCAUCUAAGUUACCUGACGUGAAUUGGCUAAUUCCGCUUUGCUUUUAAAGGUCACCCUAUGCCAGGGUAAACUUCUAUGGUUUGCAAGAACCUGAUACUUUUAUGCCUUGCAGUUGUUAGCUGAGUAUUUCGCUGACUUGAAAGUUUUGAAAUUGUCUUAAACAAUGGAUAGAAUCUCUUAUAUUUAAUAAAUGAGUGUAAAGCUUACCCUUUUUUUAUUUCUUGCCUCAUCCUUUGAAUUUUCUGCAUAUUUUAGCUCUAAAAUCUUUUUUUAUUGUUGGUAUUUGCAGUAGUGCCCAAAAAGUUUUCUGUUUUCAUAUUCCAAGUUGAUUGCUGGAAGAUCACAUUGCAAGGAGACAAACUGACCUCAAGAAAUUUGGGCUUGUCAUAGUCAUAUUUCUAUUUAAUCUCAGGAAUCUUGUUCGUGGUAACCCAAAAUAGUUUUUAUUCCAAUUGUAUCUUGCUAGAACUUAACUGAAACAAAAAGGGAAAAAAAAGGCUGAGAACUAGGUUCUCAGAAAAUUUUGUGAUACAAUACAGAAUGAAGGUUGGAUUUUUUUAUUGUAAGCUUUUUUGCUGUAUAGCAUUUGAACUAUUAUAUAUAUGGUAUUAAGUUGGCAAUAUUCUCAAAUUGGCCCUUUUUAUACGUCUCAUUUGGUUGAUUUGC